rnacentral:lncRNA from 1 species
GGUUUCAAGUUUCAGUUCCAAUGGUUUUCACGGAACCUUCCAACAAUGAUUUGGGCUUUAUACAUACAACCGUUUUUUAGAGUUUUGUUUUUGGACCCAAACACUCUUGAAAAUCUGUAUUUUUUACUUCAUUUGUUGGAAGGUGUGUUUCGAUGGUCUGGCAUUCCAUAAUCUGAACUCUUGAGUCCAUGCCAAUAGUUGUCAAAAUCUUGAUAGCAUGUAUAAUUUACAUAUUGUUGUUCUUUCAGUUGUAACAGGACGAUUUGCUGCUGCUGCUACUAUAGCUGUUUCGGUCAAAGGAGUCCAUGUGCGAUUACAUCCUCUUUUUCUUUGUUAUGAUCCAGGAUGAAACCCUAGAUUCUCUGCUCCUCCAUCGACGCUCCAUCUCUUGCGAUUCUCUGCUCCUCCACCUGUGAGUGUUCAUGGCGAUUAUAGGACGGCAAAGCUUCAUACCACGUUAUCAAGAGGGAAUCUGAGUCACUUUGUGCCAGCGGAUGAUGGAAAGUUUGCUGAAUGCUGUUGCGGAUUUGGUGCUGAUAUGAUAAUGACUGCAGAAUCGUGUAGAAACAGUGUAAGAUUAUAUUAUUUAAUUCAUCCGGUAUACAUGAGUACAACCCUGAUAUACGGCCAAAUUGUGACUCGCUAGGCAUUUUCAUGGCUGAUUCACCGAGUUAGCUCAGAAUUGCUUACAAACAUUACAAAUGGGAGUUGAAACAUAACACUUAAAAAACAUUGGUCUUCAGUAGAUAAACAUAUUUACGGACAUGAAACUGAACAAAAAUGCAAGAGUAAUCUUUCUAACAUAAAAACUGUUGGGCAUGGUGUUGCACUAUUAUUAUAAUCAUUCUUCUCUGGUCCACAUGUUGAUGCCUUUGUUGUCUCAGCAAGUACAUUAGAGUAUGUAUGUGUAAAUGUAAAUCUUAAAAUCAGAUUGCAUUUUUUAUUUUUAUUUUAUUGGUUCUAAGAAAGAUUGCAUUUUUAUGUUUUUUAGAUCAAUAUUAUGGGUAAUGAUAUGAUUUGUGCGAGCCAUGCUAAUGAAGGUUGUUAUUGGUCAAUAUUAAUGCACCAUCAGUGACUCAAAUAGGAUUACAUAAAUGACAUCGAGGUAAAAAAUGAACAGGUACAAAUAUAUAAUUUAUUAAAUUGUUAAAAAAACUAUCUUUAUAAAUAUUGAUAUAACCUCUUUAUAUAUACUCCUCAUUUUCAGUUUGCUAAUUUGUUAGUAUUUCUUGAUGAACUCAAUUGUUGUUGGACAAAAAGUUAUCGUUCAAGAAGAAUUCAGAAUCAUAUCACAUACGCAUUCUUUUCCAAUAUCUUUUGCAAAUAGAAUGGGAAGGCUGGAAUAAUAGCUUAUGGAAAUGAGCUCAGUAAGUUAGUGAUACACCUGGGGAAAAGCAUGGGAUGAACCAGGCCAUUCUAAUGGUGGAGAUAUACUUCAUUUAAGCAUGGAUGUUUUAAAGGAGAAUGUAAUCGGUAUUGAUGGUCUGGACUUGAUCCUUAAGACCGAACAAAUCUCCUUGAAGUUCUGCAAGUAAUCAUGAAUUCGGAAACGCCAUGACUGUUGAUGAUUCAGGACAACUCCUGUUAGGUCCGAUCCAUAUUCAUUCGGAUCCGUGUCCAACUGAAAUUAAAUAGGUAUUUUGUAGAGAAUUAAUAGUAUUGCAAUUUUUAUUACUUAUUGCUAUAUUGAAGUAAAUGCCCUAAGUAAUUCAAUUUCUGUUUUUUUUCUUCUUCGUAAGGCUUGCCAAACAUGGGUUUUAGCAUGAAGAGAUAUCAAGUUAUAAAUCAUACAUUUU